UGGGGAAUAUUGGACAAUGGGGGGAACCCUGAUCCAGCAAUGCCGCGUGAGUGAUGAAGGCCUUCGGGUUGUAAAGCUCUUUUGUUAGGGACGAUGAUGACGGUACCUAACGAAUAAGCUCCGGCUAACUUCGUGCCAGCAGCCGCGGUAAUACGAAGGGAGCUAGCGUUGUUCGGAAUUACUGGGCGUAAAGGGCGCGUAGGCGGCUUGAUAAGUUUGGUGUGAAAGCCCUGGGCUUAACCUAGGAAUAGCAUUGAAUACUGUCCGGCUUGAGUCCGAGAGAGGGAAAUGGAAUUGCGAGUGUAGAGGUGAAAUUCGUAGAUAUUCGCAAGAACACCGGUGGCGAAGGCGGUUUCCUGGCUCGGUACUGACGCUAAGGCGCGAAAGCGUGGGGAGCAAACAGG
rnacentral:rRNA from 1 species